rnacentral:lncRNA from 1 species
UCUAAAUGUACCUGAGACUUGAGAUGGGCACUGUCCUGGGUGCUCCUGUCCACCAUGCAGUGGGACCUCACACCUCCGGUGCAGAGAGGGUGGUGGGUUCUCAGAGCUCACAUUAUGACGACUGCACCCCUGCCUGAUGGCUACAUCAAGUUCAGCCCCAGCUGUCACCCAGCCCUAGCAGGGAGGCAUCCAGCUCAGGACUAGCAAAAGGCAGAGAAACAUUCAGCAGAAGUUGGAAGUAUCACAUUUCCAGCUUCAGCAUCUUUUGAUUCGAGGAGGAAAGAACAGCUUACAUGUGUCAGGUUUCUGCCUGUUUGCUCAGAUAUCACCAGACCUGUACUUUGGCUUGCCCAUCACAGAGCGCAUUGUGUUUGAUGCCAGGAAGGGAGGGGACAGCCUGCAGACAGAGGUGUACUCAGGUUCUCCAACCCCACUGCGCACCCCUGGAGGAUGAAAUCUCCUUUCAAAGACUCUUAUCCACUGGCUUGUUGUCCAUUGGACUCUGAAUCAUUCUCAUAUCCAGCCAGGAGACUUCAGC